GCCCAGAUGGCUUAGUCAGUAGAGCAUGAGAUUCUUAAUCUCAAAGUUGUGGAUUCAUUCCCUACAUUGGGCG
rnacentral:tRNA from 1 species